CUCUUGAUUCUUUGCUGCUGUUGUUGUUUACAGGGAGCGUGGUUAUCUUGUUACUGAUGAAGUGUUUGAGGCAUUGGUAAAAAUUGGAUUCUUGCUGGACUCUCCUGCUUUUUACACUGUCUGUGAGUGCUUUGAGGUUUUGGGCUUGGUCUGGGUGGCUCUGUGAUUUUUGAAUUAGGCUUGGCGGCUUUAACACUUUUGGAAUUUAGCCUUGGAAGCCUUGAGG